AGAGUUUGAUCCUGGCUCAGAACGAACGCUGGCGGCAUGCCUUAUACAUGCAAGUCGAACGAGAAAGUCACUUCGGUGGCGAGUACAGUGGCGCACGGGUGAGUAACGCGUAGAUGAUCUACCCUUCAGUCUGGGACAACUCUUGGAAACGGGAGCUAAUACCGGAUAAAACCUUCGGGUUGAAAGAUUUAUCGCUGGGGGAUGAGUCUGCGUACCAUUAGCUUGUUGGUGGGGUAACGGCCUACCAAGGCGACGAUGGUUAGCGGGUCUGAGAGGACGAUCCGCCACACUGGAACUGAGACACGGUCCAGACUCCUACGGGAGGCAGCAGUAGGGAAUAUUGCGCAAUGGGGGCAACCCUGACGCAGCAAUGCCGCGUGAGUGAAGAAGGCCUUCGGGUCGUAAAGCUCUUUUAUGGGGGAAGAUGAUGACGGUACCCCAUGAAUAAGCACCGGCUAACUACGUGCCAGCAGCCGCGGUAAUACGUAGGGUGCGAGCGUUGUUCGGAAUUACUGGGCGUAAAGGGCGUGCAGGCGGAUUGGCAAGCCGGAGGUGAAAGCCCGGGGCUCAACCCCGGAGGGUCUUUCGGAACUGCCAGUCUUGAGAGGGUCAGGGGCCAGCGGAAUUCCUGGUGUAGAGGUGAAAUUCGUAGAGAUCAGGAGGAACACCGGCGGCGAAAGCGGCUGGCUGGGGCCACUCUGACGCUGAGGCGCGAAAGCGUGGGGAGCAAACAGGAUUAGAUACCCUGGUAGUCCACGCCGUAAACGAUGGGCACUAAGCGUCCGACGGGUUCGACCCUGUUGGGUGCUGCAGUUAACGCGUUAAGUGCCCCGCCUGGGGAGUACGGUCGCAAGACUAAAACUCAAAGGAAUUGAC
rnacentral:rRNA from 1 species